UACCAGCUCUCCGAGUGGUAGGGAUGAUUAUUGGGCUUAAAGCGUCCGUAGCCGGCUUAGCAAGUCUCCUGUUAAAUUCAGCGACCUAAUCGUUGAGCCGCGGGAGAUACUACUAGGCUAGGAGGCGGGAGAGGUCGACGGUACUUCUGGGGUAGGGGUGAAAUCCUAUAAUCCCGGGAGGACCACCAGUGGCGAAGGCUGUCGACUAGAACGCGCUCGACGGUGAGGGACGAAAGCUGGGGGAGCGAACCGGAUUAGAUACCCGGGUAGUCCCAGCUGUAAACGAUGCGGGCUAGGUGUUGGGGUGGCUACGUGCCACUCCAGUGCCGCAGGGAAGCCGUUAAGCCCGCCGCCUGGGGAGUACGGCCGCAAGGCUAGAAACUUAAAGGAAUUGGCGGGGGAGCACCACAAGGCGUGAAGCUUGCGGUUC
rnacentral:rRNA from 1 species